AUUGAACGCUGGCGGCAUGCCUUACACAUGCAAGUCGAACGGCAGCACGGGAGCAAUCCUGGUGGCGAGUGGCGAACGGGUGAGUAAUAUAUCGGAACGUGCCCAGUCGUGGGGGAUAACGUAGCGAAAGCUACGCUAAUACCGCAUACGAUCUAUGGAUGAAAGCGGGGGAUCGCAAGACCUCGCGCGAUUGGAGCGGCCGAUAUCAGAUUAGGUAGUUGGUGAGGUAAAGGCUCGCCAAGCCGACGAUCUGUAGCUGGUCUGAGAGGACGACCAGCCACACUGGGACUGAGACAGGCCCAGACUCCUACGGGAGGCAGCAGUGGGGAA
rnacentral:rRNA from 1 species